CAGAUAUUUUGAAUUUUUAAAUGA
rnacentral:miRNA from 1 species